UACGGCGGUCAUGGCGGAGGGGAAACGCCCGGUCCCAUUCCGAACCCGGAAGCUAAGCCCUCCAGCGCCGAUGGUACUGCACUCGCCAGGGUGUGGGAGAGUAGGACACCGCCGGACUUAAUUUCCAG
rnacentral:rRNA from 1 species